AUGACAUACAUGUUGAAAGCUUUCGAUCAACUUGGUCCUACCCAAAUUAAUGCUUCCGAACAAUUGAUUUGGUUGGUUCUGUUGUCUCGAUUGAAUCUCCACGUACAACCAUAAUUAAUGGACGAGAGACCAAGUUCAUCCACUUUGUUCUUCAGGAUCAUGAAGAGAGACGUUUACCUUGCACAUUUUGGGAGCAAUAUGUUGAUCAACUAUUACAGCAUGUCAACUAUGACAACCCUAAUCCAGUUGUUUUAUUCAUUCAGUUUUGUCGUGCAA